GUCAAUGCCCUGCCAUCACCACGGCGGAGCAGGUGGGAAAAGAAGUCUGCUUUUUCCAAAGUGCUCUUCUUUUCUAGGCUUUUGGGGAAGUGCGCGCAUGAGCAGCUAGCUCCAAGCAGGAAAGGGAACAAGGAAACCACAUGGGCCUAGCUCACAAUUAACUCACCUAAACCCCCACGCCUAUUUUCUUUACUUUCCCAUACCUUCCAUAAUCUAUAGAGACUCUUUGCUUAUGGACCAAGAACGCAAUGGCCCUGCCAUGACCGGAAAAGAAAUUGCUUUUCCAAGUAUAGCUCUUCAGCAAGCUAGCAAUGAAGCUGUGGAGAGGAGAGGAGGAAGCUACACGGGACGAUUGGUCCGUUAGCGCAUAAUUAACUUUCCUCUUCCCCAACAACCCCCCGGGGCUCCCUCUACUUUUCCCCUAAUUUUCUCUAUAAAUCAGACCAAUGGGCUCCUUCACCAUCCAUAAUCCGGAGAGAGAGAUAAAACACCUAUUUCAAAUUUACACUACAAACGAUUGAGUAACCAAAAUGAGCGACAACUCGACCGCGUGGAAGACCUUGGCUGCCAUUGGAGGGGUUGCUUCCGCCCUGUGGGGUUUGUACAGUCUUGUCUCUGACUCCGGCUCCUCGGGAAAAACGAUGAAGGCUCCCGGCAAGGAUGGUCGCAUCUUCAGAGACGCUUUUGAAAGUAACCCCGCCGGCUACUUCCGCGACCUGCGUGCAAAGAAGUAGAUCAUUCAUGAAUCGAAACAUCAGAAGCAGAAGGAUCCUGCCAUGUAUAUACAGCUAGCGUCGUAGUUUGGUUUUAAUCACGAGAUGUAAUUCUCAAAUUAUGUCUAUUAGUUUUGCAUUACUUCGUACUUUAUACAUAUAUCUACUCUGUUAAUCGGUGAUAUUAUCAUGCUAAGCUUCUGCCCUACAUGUUAUAAGGGCGGGCGUCUCCUAUAGCUAUGUGCAAUUGUAAUUGCAUUAGAGCUAUAGGAGACGCCCGCCCUUAUAACAUGUAGGGCAGAAGCUUAGCAUGAUAAUAUCACCGAUUGACAGAGUAGAUACAUGUAUAAAGUACGAAGUAAUGCAAAACUAAUAGACAUAAUUUGAGAAUUACAUCUCGUGAUUAAAACCAAACUACGACGCUAGCUGUAUAUACAUGGCAGGAUCCUUCUGCUUCUGAUGUUUCGAUUCAUGAAUGAUCUACUUCUUUGCACGCAGGUCCCGGAAGUAGCCGGCGGGGUUACUUUCAAAAGCGUCUCUGAAGAUGCGAUCAUCCUUGCCGGGAGCCUUCAUCGUUUUUCCCGAGGAGCCGGAGUCAGAGACAAAACUGUACAAACCCCACAGGGCGGAAGCAACCCC